rnacentral:rRNA from 1 species
GACAGAGGAGCCAAGCGUUGUCCGGAUUGACUGGGCGUAAAGCGCACGCAGGCGGAUGCGCGCGUGGGGUGUGAAAGCUGGUGGCUUAACUGCCAGUCGCCAUCCCAUACGGCGCGUCUGGAGCCUUGCAGAGGGCAGUGGAAUUGCCGGUGUAGUGGUGAAAUGCGUAGAUAUCUGGAGGAACACCGGUGGCGAAGGCGGCGUCCUGGACCAACACUGACACUGAUGAGCGAAAGCCAGGGGAGCAAGCGGG